GUCAAAUGAUGAAAAUAGGUUCGCCUUAGACACACGGUUUAUAUAAACCAGAGAAAAUAUUGUCUGAAAUCUUGGUGGUCAUACUAAGACUGUGUGGUCGCUGUAAGGCCGGACAUAGAUCAUCAAUGAUUGGCCCCUGCUGGGAGGGUGCAGCCCCUAUGUAGAUAUGUUGAUAAGGGCCUGCUUUCAUGGGCUGGUUGGACAGAACCUGGGUCUUCUCAGGAUCAUUUCGGGUCAGGGUGGGUUUUAAUGGGGAUUUUUGUGUAUUUGAUGAAGUAUUUAGUAAUCUGAUGACA